GACGGAUGGAACAGUUAACGUUUUGGCUUCUAUUUCAAUUGGUAUGGAAUAUGUUUGUUUGUUGACUAUCUGAUAUUGUGCUGGGCAAUCUAAAGGACUUACAAUGAUGGAAAUGCAAUCAUUGAAAAAUCUACAGAUUACCUAUUAGAGCAAUUAAGGAUUUUUGGUAGAAAUUAGCUUGCAGAUUACACUUAAUUUUAAUCUUUCUACACAUGACAAUGUUUUGAAAAGAGUUGGUAUAGUUGUUGAGCGAACAAUUCAUUGACCUUUGGAUGACUGCUUGUGGGACAUUUUGUGAGAUAAUUGGCCAAAAACUUUUUACUCAAAAUCAUAUCUCCACCGAGCUUCUUAAAGGGUAAGAGUUGUAUAUCUUAUUAGUAUUUUUUUUAAUGUUGAAAUCUCUGUUUUUCAAUAUUACUGAUAUGUUUAGCUCCAACAUUACCAUUGGCGUUUGACUACUGUUACCAAUGGUUCUAGCUCUAAUGUUGCUGUUGAUCUUAACUUCAAUUUUAUUUAAAGUUGUAACUCCCAUAUUACUAUUGGGUUUUAGUCCAACAUUGGCAUUGGUUGUAGCUUGAAUGUUGCCACUAGUUUUAUCUCUGAAAUUGACUAUCUUCGUAACUUUGUGAGUGGUAUUAGAUCAAUUUAAUUAUUGCAAGUUUUGGUGCUGCUGGUAGGGGCAUUUUAAAAGCAGAGAUAUGAUCUCUUGGAUUCACCCAAUUUUUGUUGUAAUUCUUACUGCUUUAUAUACAAGUAAGAUAGUAUUUUAAUUAACAUUUGCUAUUAAAAUCUUCUGAGAUACUCCUUAUGGCGGGGACUCUUGUGAUCGUAUAAGAAAUGUUAAUUUUAAGGAAAUUGUGGCGUUGGCAGACUAAAAAGAGGUACAAUCUUAUUGGAGUCUUACAGUGUUAUUCACAAAAGAUAUCAAUAUAAAUAAUGAACCUCCUUAGCUAUGCUUAAUAGUGACGGAAACUACUGGGUGUAUCUUCUAAUUCUGGCGGUAUGCUAUUGGAUAUUGUCAUGGUUUAUGUUUUAAGGUGAUGCAGCAGUGGUGUUCAAGGAAUUUGUUAUUGGUUAUGAUGACGAUUUGACGUGCAGAUGUCCUUAAGCUUCUAUGGUCGAGAGGCCCACUGUUUUCCUAGUAGCUGCAAUUUUCUAUUCAACCUUGCAAAGUGGUGGUGUAACCUUCUUUUCCCCUAUGUUGCUUUCUUGUUUCAUUUUUUGAGGGAUGAUGUACCUUAGGACUUUAUUAGGCUCAAAUUUUUCCUUUUUUUUUCUUGGGUGUGU